CUGCAGAUAUUAGUAAUUCAAAAUUAUCUUACAGGUGGAAAAGUGACAAGCUAGACAACAUGCCUUUCAAGAGAUCUCCUUCCAUUUUUAUUCUGAAUCACAUGUAGUCCUCUGAGUGGGAAAAUAAGCUUUAAAGGCAUAGAAUCCAUAGCAGCCCUAAAUAGAGAAGUGAAGAUUUUAUAUUC